CCUGCUUCGUGCUGUUUUAGUUUAGUAGCCGACUAGCCGUGUUAUUACAUUAUAUUAUAAUAUAUCAUCAUAUUAUUAUAAAUUACAAUUUGUUUGAAGUGCGUAAGUGAUAACUUUGUGAUUUAUUUGUAUGUGGAGUAAUUUAAUUUGUGAUUUUUAUGUGAAACAUUAUUGUGACGGUAAUUAUUUUGGAAUCCAUUCAGGGAAGUAGAUUCGGUAGACGCAGAUGAAGCUUAAAAAGACACGAUUAAAUCCACAUUUAAAAUGUAAACUUUUUGUACUGACUAUUAAAUAUACCUAUAAAUUAUA
rnacentral:lncRNA from 1 species